AUAAUAUUCGGACCGUCGGUCUACCGAACAAUAUCACUCGCUUGGUAAAAUGGCUUCCCUUUGUCGU
rnacentral:pre_miRNA from 1 species